GACGAACGCUGGCGGCGUGCUUAACACAUGCAAGUCGAACGGAAAGGCCCUGCUUUUGUGGGGUGCUCGAGUGGCGAACGGGUGAGUAACACGUGAGUAACCUGCCCUUGACUUUGGGAUAACUUCAGGAAACUGGGGCUAAUACCGGAUAGGAGCUCCCGCUGCAUGGUGGGGGUUGGAAAGUUUCGGCGGUUGGGGAUGGACUCGCGGCUUAUCAGCUUGUUGGUGGGGUAGUGGCUUACCAAGGCUUUGACGGGUAGCCGGCCUGAGAGGGUGACCGGCCACAUUGGGACUGAGAUACGGCACAGACUCCUACGGGAGGCAGCAGUGGGGAAUAUUGCACAAUGGGCGGAAGCCUGAUGCAGCAACGCCGCGUGCGGGAUGACGGCCUUCGGGUUGUAAACCGCUUUCGCCUGUGACGAAGCGUGAGUGACGGUAAUGGGUAAAGAAGCACCGGCUAACUACGUG
rnacentral:rRNA from 1 species